GACGAACGCUGGCGGCGUGCCUAAUACAUGCAAGUAGAACGCUGAAGAGAGGAGCUUGCUUUUCUUGGAUGAGUUGCGAACGGGUGAGUAACGCGUAGGUAACCUGCCUUGUAGCGGGGGAUAACUAUUGGAAACGAUAGCUAAUACCGCAUAACAAUGGAUGACACAUGUCAUUUAUUUGAAAGGGGCAAUUGCUCCACUACAAGAUGGACCUGCGUUGUAUUAGCUAGUAGGUGAGGUAAUGGCUCACCUAGGCGACGAUACAUAGCCGACCUGAGAGGGUGAUCGGCCACACUGGGACUGAGACACGGCCCAGACUCCUACGGGAGGCAGCAGUAGGGAAUCUUCGGCAAUGGGGGCAACCCUGACCGAGCAACGCCGCGUGAGUGAAGAAGGUUUUCGGAUCGUAAAGCUCUGUUGUAAGUCAAGAACGGGUGUGAGAGUGGAAAGUUCACACUGUGACGGUAGCUUACCAGAAAGGGACGGCUAACUACGUG
rnacentral:rRNA from 1 species